GAUGAACGCUGGCGGCGUGCCUAAUACAUGCAAGUCGAGCGAACAGACGAGGAGCUUGCUCCUCUGACGUUAGCGGCGGACGGGUGAGUAACACGUGGAUAACCUACCUAUAAGACUGGGAUAACUUCGGGAAACCGGAGCUAAUACCGGAUAAUAUAUUGAACCGCAUGGUUCAAUAGUGAAAGACGGCUUUGCUGUCACUUAUCGAUGGAUCCGCGCCGCAUUAGCUAGUUGGUAAGGUAACGGCUUACCAAGGCAACGAUGCGUAGCCGACCUGAGAGGGUGAUCGGCCACACUGGAACUUAGACACGGUCCAGACUCCUACGGGAGGCAGCAGUAGGGAAUCUGCCGCAAUGGGCGAAAGCCUGACGGAGCAACGCCGCGUGAGUGAUGAAGGUCUUCGGAUCGUAAAACUCUGUUAUUAGGGAAGAACAGAUGUGUAAGUAACUAUGCACGUCUUGACGGUACCUAAUCAGAAAGCCACGGCUAACUACGUG
rnacentral:rRNA from 1 species